AAAAAAGAUUGGUAGCCAAGAGAAAGACAUUCUUUCCUUUAUCUGCCUCUGAAGCAACAGGGAGGGGUUUCUACAAACUUCAUCCUCUGGACAGACAAGCUCAUAUUGCCAUCGUUGCUGCAUAUAUGGAGAAAAUUCAAAUUAAAAAGAGAGACUUCUUGGUUUGAAUGGGUAAUUGUGAAAUGGUACAAUAGACUGUUGAGUAGUUCAGAAUAUUUUACAAAUUCA
rnacentral:lncRNA from 1 species